CCGACCAUAGCUCAGUUGGAAGAGCACAAAACUGUAAUAGGUUGCCGGGAAGUACGAUCUUGGGGUCGCCUGUUCGAACCAGGCUCGUCGGG